rnacentral:rRNA from 1 species
UACGGGGGGGGCAAGCGUUUGUUCGGAAUUACUGGGCGUAAAGGGCUCGUAGGUGGCCAACUAAGUCAGACGUGAAAUCCCUCGGCUUAACCGGGGAACUGCGUCUGAUACUGGAUGGCUUGAGUUCGGGAGAGGGAUGCGGAAUUCCAGGUGUAGCGGUGAAAUGCGUAGAUAUCUGGAGGAACACCGAUGGCGAAGGCGGGUCUCUGGGCCGAUACUGACGCUGAGGAGCGAAAGCGUGGGGAGCGAACAGG